CUAAGGCACCAGGUAGAUAAAUAUAUAUAUAUUUUUUUAUAUUUUAGAUGAAGUUCGUACUCUUGAUUCUUAUAUCAUUUGUCUUAAUGAACGUUGCAGACUCCCUUCCAAUGCCACAAAGGAAACUACCAGAUGGUUGUAAGAAGAAAAAGGAUUGUACAAUCGACCCAUUGUCGGAUGUUGAUCAAGAGGACUUCGUAAGAAACAAAAGACGACAACGACAAUGAGAUAACGACACUUAUCGUAAUUAUGCAUGUACUUGUUUUACGAUUCAAAAUUAAAAAUUGCGCAA